AGAGUUUGAUCCUGGCUCAGGAUGAACGCUAGCGGCAGGCCUAACACAUGCAAGUCGAGGGGUAGAGUUUCUUCGGAGACUUGAGACCGGCGCACGGGUGCGUAACGCGUAUGCAAUCUACCCUUUACUGGGGAAUAGCCCGGAGAAAUUCGGAUUAAUGCCCCAUAUGCCCACGGAAUCGCAUGGUUCAGUGGGGAAAGUUCCGGCGGUAAAGGAUGAGCAUGCGUCCCAUUAGCUAGUUGGUGAGGUAACGGCUCACCAAGGCGACGAUGGGUAGGGGGCCUGAGAGGGUGAUCCCCCACACUGGUACUGAGACACGGACCAGACUCCUACGGGAGGCAGCAGUGAGGAAUAUUGGGCAAUGGAGGCAACUCUGACCCAGCCAUGCCGCGUGCAGGAAGACGGCCCUCUGGGUUGUAAACUGCUUUUGUUUGGGAAUAAACCCUUCUACGUGUAGGAGGCUGAAGGUACCUUACGAAUAAGCAUCGGCUAACUCCGUGCCAGCAGCCGCGGUAAUACGGAGGAUGCAAGCGUUAUCCGGAUUUAUUGGGUUUAAAGGGUCCGUAGGCGGGUCUUUAAGUCAGUGGUGAAAGCCUGCAGCUUAACUGUAGAAUUGCCAUUGAUACUGGAGACCUUGAGUGUAGUAGAAGUAGGCGGAAUAAGGCAUGUAGCGGUGAAAUGCAUAGAUAUGCCUUAGAACACCGAUUGCGAAGGCAGCUUACUAUGUUACAACUGACGCUGAGGGACGAAAGCGUGGGGAGCAAACAGGAUUAGAUACCCUGGUAGUCCACGCUGUAAACGAUGAUUACUCGCUGUUGGCGACAUACAGUCAGCGGCCAAGCGAAAGCAUUAAGUAAUCCACCUGGGGAGUACGCCGGCAACGGUG
rnacentral:rRNA from 1 species